UUAGGUCAAGUUAUCAAGAGCGUAUGGCGAAUGCCUAGGCGCCGGAAGCCGAUGAAGGACGGGGUAAGCACCGAAAUGCCACGGGGAGCCGCAAGCAGGUUUUGAUCCGUGGAUGUCCGAAUGGGGCAACCUACCACCUUUAAUAGGGUGGUAUCCUUAUCUGAACACAUAGGGUAAGGAAGGGAACCGGGGGAACUGAAACAUCUAAGUAUCCCGAGGAAAAGAAAUCAAGAGAGAUUCCCUAAGUAGCGGCGAGCGAACGGGGAAGAGUCUAAACUGGUAAAAUGCAGAAGCCCGCAAGCGUUGUUUUACCGGGGUUGCACGAGUUACAAGAGGGAAUUGCGGUACCUCAUCAAGACAUUUUAUCUUUAGUCGAAUGUUCUGGAAAGAACAACCAUAGGAAGUGAAAGUCUUGUAGACGAAAAGGAUAAAAGCUUGCGUAAUUUCGUAAGUACUACGAGACACGAGAAAUCUCGUAGGAAUCUGGGAAGACCACUUUCCAAGGCUAAAUACUUUUCCGGCGACCGAUAGAGAACAGUACCGUGAGGGAAAGGUGAAAAGCACCCCGGGAGGGGAGUGAAAUAGAACCUGAAACCCUGUGCUUACAAGCAGUCGGAGGACUUUAUAUGUCUGACGGCGUACU
rnacentral:rRNA from 1 species